AAAGAUCUGCGUAAACAAUGACCCUACAAGCAACAGCAUGUAUCUGUGCACGCCAUCAAACUCCUAAGUUUACAUGAUCCAGGUGUGGUUGUCAUCCUUCUGAUAAGUUGUGCUGAAGCAUAAAUAGUAGGUUUACUAUAUAUUCAUGAAUGUAAUUCUCAUAUCUGGACAAAUUUACCUUGAACAUGCUUAAAGUAUAUGGUCAGCUUGUAUGAAUGUUGCAUAUCAUGUGUUUUAUAAUAUUUUAUACAAUUCUUUGUAAUGCUUUGAAUAAUUAUUUUCUAAACAAUCUAUAGAAAAGCUAGCUUGAAAGAUCAUGUGUAAUUAAAUCCGUAUAUUAUUUUCGAGUAUCUGAAUCAAUAUAUGAUUCAUUAUUGAUAUCCAAUGUUUCGGUUCUCAGCUACUUGGAAGUAAUUUUACUAUUCAAUUAUCUCGGGUGAGGUUACCAAUGGAGCACCAUUUACAACCAUUGUGGAGUUGGAGGAAUUUUUUGGGUUGGUUUGUACAAAAGGAUAAUUUAUUAUCUUUGUUCAUAAGUAUUUCUACUGAAAUUGCCGUCUCUAAGAAUUCCAUAUGCUGCUCAUACCAUGUCAAUACUAAAUUUGAAAUUCUGAUGAAUCCCAUAUUCAUGUGAAUAGGUAAUCUUGGAGGUGACAUCAAGUUUAAAUGAACAUGAUAUGUUUUGGCCAUAACAUUAAAACAGGACCGAGCGACGCACAUGAUACCUCAACCAUACUAUAGGUGGUAGCACUGGAGGCGCGUGUCAUUGCUCUUCUGAGCUAAGGAGAACCUUGGUCAGGAGAUUACGGGAGGGCACAUGGGUGAAGCUUGGCGGCAAGCCAUCGGUGGCGGUGGUCAUCUCGAGAAUCCUAUGGUUUGGUUACCGGGAUUGUUCAUUCUUCCCCAGUUUUAUUGUACAUAAGUUUUGAAGAAACAAGAGGUCCAUAUACUGGUUACUGCUAAUUUUUGUACUGACAUUUCAAUGGACACACAAGUGGGAGAUUUUUUACUGGUUAUUAUACAUGCAUGAGACCUCACAUGUUACAGGGGAAUCGGCGCUGCCACAUUACAGGGGAAUCGGCGCUGCCACAUUCAAGAUCAUGAUUAGUUUGUUUUUGAGGGAAUGAUCAGAGAGUUAGUGAGGAAGAGGAAACAUGCUUUUGUUAAGAGUUGUUCAGGAUGAUGGGGCUGCGGUUUUGGUCCUCCAAUUUCUUCUCUGCUAGGCAAAGCCUAGCUCUAUCGAUCCGGUUGUAAAACAAUCCACUCCUAUUAAUAGAUACGACAUUGCUCCUGUUAAGUUUUCAAGAAUAAUGUGCUUGUUUG
rnacentral:lncRNA from 1 species